GCCAUAGCUCAGUGGAAGAACACCUGCUUUGCCUGCAGAAGGUGCCAGGUUCAAUCCCUGGUGCCCCCA